rnacentral:rRNA from 1 species
UACGUAGGGGGCAAACGUUGUCCGGAUUUACUGGGUGUAAAGGGUGCUCAGGCGGUCUUGUAAGUUAGAAGUGAAAUCCUAGGGCUCAACUCUGGAACUGCUUUUAAUACUGCAAGGCUUGAAUAUGGAAGAGGAGGGUGGAAUUUCUGGUGUAGCAGUGAAAUGCGUAGAUAUCAGAAAGAACACCAGUGGCGAAGGCGGCCCUCUGGUCCAUUAUUGACGCUAAAGCACGAAAGCGUGGGGAGCAAAC